CAUGUUUAACUUGAACCCUUCCCCCCUCCUUCAAGGUCACCCAAGUUGAAGUUCACGUUGAAGGUCUCAACAUCAACAAAAGCGGAAACUUAAUUGAACCUAACCUACAUGGAUAAAAACAUAAACCAUGGAAGAAGCAGAUGUUCUUCUAAGGGACACCCUAGAGGCAGCAAAGUGGUGAGAACGCCAAACAUUUAAAGGCACCGUUUCCCUCCAUAGUGUAAUUGGGAUGGACGGGGAAGACCGCAUUACAACCCUUAAAGAACUACGGUUGUAUAAUGGCCUGGAUGAAGAGCAAAAUAUUACUCUCAAGGAACCAUUCAUGUUCUCAUUCCAGUUACAGAGAGAUGAUGAGAUGUUCUAUGUGGAGGCAGUUGACAACAAGCAAAUGACUGUCUUUGUCUCGUUUGAGGAGCAGGAGUGAAGCCAUUUUUGAGGAGUGGUCAAAUCUUGUUAUUGUCUGCUGUGUUAAUGAUUUCCUUUGUAAAUUGUGUUAUGUUGUUUAGUAAAGAUGCCGUAGAAGUCA